AAGUCAAUCUUGCAAAGAAUACUUUGGAAACGAGAGCACCGGCAAUCAAAAACAAUUCCUGAAGCAGAGACAAAGCUUUAAAGAUGACUUGGCCAUCAACAAAUGCUGUUUGUCUGUCGGAGACCAGCUCAUUAAUUUUGCCGCGGAGAUGAAUUGAGAGCACUUUAGAGAUAAUCUUAAUCAUCCCGUUUUUCAGACUGGUUGGCCUCU
rnacentral:lncRNA from 1 species